rnacentral:rRNA from 1 species
AUUGAACGCUGGCGGCAUGCCUUACACAUGCAAGUCGAACGGCAGCACGGGAGCAAUCCUGGUGGCGAGUGGCGAACGGGUGAGUAAUACAUCGGAACGUGCCCAAUCGUGGGGGAUAACGUAGCGAAAGCUACGCUAAUACCGCAUACGAUCUACGGAUGAAAGCGGGGGAUCGCAAGACCUCGCGCGAAUGGAGCGGCCGAUGGCAGAUUAGGUAGUUGGUGAGGUAAAGGCUCACCAAGCCUGCGAUCUGUAGCUGGUCUGAGAGGACGACCAGCCACACUGGGACUGCGACACGGCCCAGACUCCUACGGGAGGCAGCAGUGGGGAAUUUUGGACAAUGGGCGCAAGCCUGAUCCAGCAAUGCCGCGUGCAGGAUGAAGGCCUUCGGGUUGUAAACUGCUUUUGUACGGAACGAAACGGUCCUUUCUAAUACAAGGGGCUAAUGACGGUACCGUAAGAAUAAGCACCGGCUAACUACGUGCCAGCCGCCGCCGCGG